rnacentral:rRNA from 1 species
UACGGAGGGGGCUAGCGUUGUUCGGAAUUACUGGGCGUAAAGGGCUCGUAGGCGGCCAACUAAGUCGGACGUGAAAUCCCUCGGCUUAACCGGGGAACUGCGUCCGAUACUGGAUGGCUUGAGUUCGGGAGAGGGAUGCGGAAUUCCAGGUGUAGCGGUGAAAUGCGUAGAUAUCUGGAGGAACACCGGUGGCGAAGGCGGCAUCCUGGACCGACACUGACGCUGAGGAGCGAAAGCCAGGGGAGCAAACGGG